rnacentral:rRNA from 1 species
UACGCUUCUUUUUCACCGGAGCUUGCUCCACCGGAAAAAGAAGAGUGGCGAACGGGUGAGUAACACGUGGGUAACCUGCCCAUCAGAAGGGGAUAACACUUGGAAACAGGUGCUAAUACCGUAUAACAAUCGAAACCGCAUGGUUUUGAUUUGAAAGGCGCUUUCGGGUGUCGCUGAUGGAUGGACCCGCGGUGCAUUAGCUAGUUGGUGAGGUAACGGCUCACCAAGGCCACGAUGCAUAGCCGACCUGAGAGGGUGAUCGGCCACAUUGGGACUGAGACACGGCCCAAACUCCUACGGGAGGCAGCAGUAGGGAAUCUUCGGCAAUGGACGAAAGUCUGACCGAGCAACGCCGCGUGAGUGAAGAAGGUUUUCGGAUCGUAAAACUCUGUUGUUAGAGAAGAACAAGGAUGAGAGUAACUGUUCAUCCCUUGACGGUAUCUAACCAGAAAGCCACGGCUAACUACGUGCCAGCAGCCGCGGUAAUACGUAGGUGGCAAGCGUUGUCCGGAUUUAUUGGGCGUAAAGCGAGCGCAGGCGGUUUCUUAAGUCUGAUGUGAAAGCCCCCGGCUCAACCGGGGAGGGUCAUUGGAAACUGGGAGACUUGAGUGCAGAAGAGGAGAGUGGAAUUCCAUGUGUAGCGGUGAAAUGCGUAGAUAUAUGGAGGAACACCAGUGGCGAAGGCGGCUCUCUGGUCUGUAACUGACGCUGAGGCUCGAAAGCGUGGGGAGCAAACAGGAUUAGAUACCCUGGUAGUCCACGCCGUAAACGAUGAGUGCUAAGUGUUGGAGGGUUUCCGCCCUUCAGUGCUGCAGCUAACGCAUUAAGCACUCCGCCUGGGGAGUACGACCGCAAGGUUGAAACUCAAAGGAAUUGACGGGGGCCCGCACAAGCGGUGGAGCAUGUGGUUUAAUUCGAAGCAACGCGAAGAACCUUACCAGGUCUUGACAUCCUUUGACCACUCUAGAGAUAGAGCUUCCCCUUCGGGGGCAAAGUGACAGGUGGUGCAUGGUUGUCGUCAGCUCGUGUCGUGAGAUGUUGGGUUAAGUCCCGCAACGAGCGCAACCCUUAUUGUUAGUUGCCAUCAUUUAGUUGGGCACUCUAGCAAGACUGCCGGUGACAAACCGGAGGAAGGUGGGGAUGACGUCAAAUCAUCAUGCCCCUUAUGACCUGGGCUACACACGUGCUACAAUGGGAAGUACAACGAGUCGCGAAGUCGCGAGGCUAAGCUAAUCUCUUAAAGCUUCUCUCAGUUCGGAUUGUAGGCUGCAACUCGCCUACAUGAAGCCGGAAUCGCUAGUAAUCGCGGAUCAGCACGCCGCGGUGAAUACGUUCCCGGGCCUUGUACACACCGCCCGUCACACCACGAGAGUUUGUAACACCCGAAGUCGGUGAGG